rnacentral:lncRNA from 1 species
GGUUCAGGGAACAAAGCCUGGCUUGGGAAUCUCGGAGGGCUGCCGGGACGAAGAGGCUACAUCUACACAGGGCGGUGUAGGGGAAGCCCGUCUCUUCGACCUCCGUGCCUGGGAGUAGGGGCCGAGAGCCAGAUUAUUGCGAUGACCGGAAUCCCGGCGAGGACGGCCGCGCUCCGGUUCCUUGGUCAAAUUUGUGAAUUUCGCUAACACGAAAAGUUAAACAAGACACAGAGGAGAAACUGCACUUAAGGGUUUCUAACGAAUUACCUUUACUAGCAAGAAUAAAACUGCAAGAAAAU